UGUAGCUCAGCGGUAGAGUGCUUGCCUAGCAUGCAUGAGGCACUGGGUUCCAUCCCCAGCA
rnacentral:tRNA from 1 species